ACUGUACUUCAUUUCCCAGCAUCCUGUAUGUGUCGCAAAUUGCCAAACCUGCUUUGCGAUAGCUGAUAGGCCAGCUAGUGUGAAGUGACUUGAGUAAUGGCUAGAGGGGACACGAGAUAGCAAACGAGCUUAGAAUUAUUCGCUUAUUUUUUUUUAUUAUUUUACCGAUACCGGAAGUUCGGCGGGUAUUUGUUUUACUCGGCGUUUAGCUCGAGGGCUCGGUUUGGGCUCGCUUCUUUUGUUUACAUCCAUACUGCAUGCAGUGGAAUGGCUGAAGUGCCGCCUGGGCCUAACACACUGCCUGCGUCCUCGGCCGAAAUUAUAUCGCUGCCCGUGGAUGGCUGCUCGUUCCUGGGGAACAAUGAGAAAUUGGACCGUGGCCGAGGAGAUGUUCUAGCUCCGGGGACAGAGGCGCAACAAGCCACUGAGCCCAAAGGGAUAGUUAAAUUGAGCCAGAACAGCGUUCAUCACCUUAACUCGCCUGCUCAGCUGCAUUCUUUACCGGCCCAGCUCAACGGCAUCGCUAGCCAUCCGGAGCACGACGAGCACCGCGGCCAUAAAAUCGCUCAAAACCACGUCCAGCACCGAGCGCACCGAGCGGCCGACUGUCAGUGCACUGCCUCGGAUUAUGUGGACAGUAUUGACGGGCGGGGAAGCAGGAAAUUAGCGUGUAACAACCGCGACAGCUCGUUACCCAGUAACGGAGUCGACUUCCCCGAUCCCGCGGCCAUAACCGAGCUCGGCUCUUCGGAUCAGCUGGAGAGAGAGAGUACGUGUCUGAAAGCCGAGCUCGGCAGGACUGUGUGUCGCUCCGAGUGUAACGAUAAUGUUCAGAAAGCAGCGGGGGACAGAGAGCGAGGCCUGGGGCUGCAGGGAUCUGGAGCUGAGGAGGCACCACUAGAGGAUCAGAUAGCAAAGCUGUCAGUGAGCACACAGGCAGUGGAUCACAGCCCCAUCACUUAUGUGAGAUACGAGUCCGAGCUGCAGAUGCCGGAUAUCAUCAGGCUCAUAACUAAAGACUUGUCCGAGCCUUACUCUAUUUACACCUAUAGGUACUUCAUUCACAACUGGCCCCAGCUCUGCUUUCUGGCAAUGGUGGAGAAAAACUGUGUUGGUGCCAUUGUAUGCAAGUUGGACAUGCACAAGAAGAUGUUCAGGCGGGGAUACAUUGCCAUGCUCGCUGUGGACUCCAAAUUUCGCAGGAAAGGCAUCGGUACAAACCUUGUUAAAAAGGCCAUCUAUGCCAUGGUGGAAGGGGACUGUGAUGAGGUGGUGCUGGAGACCGAAAUCACCAACAAAUCAGCCCUGAAACUUUAUGAGAACCUGGGCUUUGUCAGGGACAAGCGGCUGUUCAGAUAUUAUUUAAAUGGAGUGGACGCUCUCCGGCUCAAGCUGUGGCUACGCUGAGUUCUCCUGUGACGUCCCGGACUGUCCUUCAAUUCCUCUGUCCUCCUGUCCCUGUGUCCAAAGUCUGGAUCUGUCAGUGGAGGACUUGGCUGCAGGAGCUCCCUGAGGUCCAGAUUCUGUCCCUUUGUCUCAUCCCAGAAGAUGUCUCUUUGAGUUGGCCUGGACACCAGUCGGAUUCUUUCUGUCUGCACAUUACCAGCUCCUCCAACUGGAGAAAUCGGAAAAGUUAAAUAAGAUGCUUUAGCUUGUCUUCUUUAGGGUGAGCUGUGACUUAAAUUGGAUCAGCAAAAAUGUAUCUAAACACUAUUCCAAAUCAAAAUGUCUCUAGUUUAAUUACUCACCACUGGAAGUAUAAAUUCCUUGCUGCUCCCUAAGGUGCCUCUGAUGGGAUUGACGCUUCUUGGCUGCUUGACCAAUAAGGAGUGUCUGUGCUUGCAGGAACCCUCCCUGG